rnacentral:rRNA from 1 species
CUUGCUCCCUGAUGUUAGCGGCGGACGGGUGAGUAACACGUGGGUAACCUGCCUGUAAGACUGGGAUAACUCCGGGAAACCGGGGCUAAUACCGGAUGGUUGUUUGAACCGCAUGGUUCAAACAUAAAAGGUGGCUUCGGCUACCACUUACAGAUGGACCCGCGGCGCAUUAGCUAGUUGGUGAGGUAACGGCUCACCAAGGCAACGAUGCGUAGCCGACCUGAGAGGGUGAUCGGCCACACUGGGACUGAGACACGGCCCAGACUCCUACGGGAGGCAGCAGUAGGGAAUCUUCCGCAAUGGACGAAAGUCUGACGGAGCAACGCCGCGUGAGUGAUGAAGGUUUUCGGAUCGUAAAGCUCUGUUGUUAGGGAAGAACAAGUACCGUUCGAAUAGGGCGGUACCUUGACGGUACCUAACCAGAAAGCCACGGCUAACUACGUGCCAGCAGCCGCGGUAAUACGUAGGUGGCAAGCGUUGUCCGGAAUUAUUGGGCGUAAAGGGCUCGCAGGCGGUUUCUUAAGUCUGAUGUGAAAGCCCCCGGCUCAACCGGGGAGGGUCAUUGGAAACUGGGGAACUUGAGUGCAGAAGAGGAGAGUGGAAUUCCACGUGUAGCGGUGAAAUGCGUAGAGAUGUGGAGGAACACCAGUGGCGAAGGCGACUCUCUGGUCUGUAACUGACGCUGAGGAGCGAAAGCGUGGGGAGCGAACAGGAUUAGAUACCCUGGUAGUCCACGCCGUAAACGAUGAGUGCUAAGUGUUAGGGGGUUU